UACGUAGGGACCAAGCGUUGUCCGGAAUUACUGGGCGUAAAGGGCUCGUAGGCGGCCAACUAAGUCAGACGUGAAAUCCCUCGGCUUAACCGGGGAACUGCGUCUGAUACUGGAUGGCUGGAGUUUGGGAGAGGGAUGCGGAAUUCCAGGUGUAGCGGUGAAAUGCGUAGAUAUCUGGAGGAACACCGGUGGCGAAGGCGGCAUCCUGGACCAAUACUGACGCUGAGGAGCGAAAGCCAGGGGAGCAAACGGG
rnacentral:rRNA from 1 species